UUUCCCUACGGGGGGCAGCAGUGGGGAAUAUUGGGCAAUGGGCGCAAGCCUGACCCAGCAACGCCGCGUGAAGGAAGAAGGCUUUCGGGUUGUAAACUUCUUUUCUCAGGGACGAAGAAAGUGACGGUACCUGAGGAAUAAGCCACGGCUAACUACGUGCCAGCAGCCGCGGUAAUACGUAGGUGGCAAGCGUUAUCCGGAAUGAUUGGGCGUAAAGGGUGCGCAGGCGGUCCUGCAAGUCUGGAGUGAAACGCAUGAGCUCAACUCAUGCAUGGCUUUGGAAACUGGAGGACUGGAGAGCAGGA
rnacentral:rRNA from 1 species